UUUAGAGGGUUGGAACUUUCAGCCCCAUCCCUGACCUCUGCUCUAGAAGGAGUAUAGAGAGGAACUGAGGGUUGAAUUAAUCACCAAUGGCCAAUGAUUUGAUUAAUCCUGCCUAUGUAAUGAAGCCUCCAGAAAAUCCUAAACAUUGAGAUUUGGAGGACUUCCAGGUUGGUGAACACAUGGAAGUGCUGGGAGGGCAGGAGUUCUGUGUCACUUCCCACUUAUACGCAUCUCUUCCAUCUGGCUGUUCCUGAAUUGUAUCCUUCUAUAAUAAACCAGUAAUCAAACAGAAAAUACAAACAGAUCAACACAUAUGAAAAGAGGUGGAGAACUGAAUAUUGACCCAGUAAACCUAAAUAGCCAAGAAAAUUAAUCUGUGUCUUCCUAUUUCCUGAGAUGUAACAAUUUGAAAUCAGGUCCUUUCAUAACCCUGCAGUGGCCUCUAAGUGUCAAAGUAAAAGGAAGAAUUACACAUCCCUUACUUUAUAAUCAAAAGCUAGAAAUGAAAAAGCGUAGUGAAGAAGGCAUAUCUAAAGCUGAGAAAGACCAAAAUCUAGGCAUCUCAUACCAAACAGCCACGAUGUAAAUAUAACUAAAAGCUUUUGAGGCCAAUUAAAAGUGCUACUCCAGUGAACUCAAGAAUGAUAAGAAAGUAAAACGGCCUGUUGCUGAUAUGAAGAAUGUUACAGUGAUCUGGAUAGAAGAUCAAACUAACCACACCAUUCCUUUAAGCCAAAGCCUAAUUCAGAGCAAAAUCCUAACUCUCUUCUCUUCUGUGGAGAGGUGAAGAAUCUGCAGAAGAAAAGUGGAAGCUAGCAGGAAUUUGUUUGUGAGGUUUAAGGAAAGAAAUCCGUCUCUGUAAUGCAACAGUGAGGUGAAGCAGCAACUUAUCCAAAAGAUCUAGUGAAGGGAAGGUGGCCACAGUAAACAUCUGAUUUUCAAUGUAGACAAAAUAGCCUUCUCUUGGAAGAUGUCAUCUAGGGCUUUCAUAGUUAGAGAGAAGACAACACCUGGCUUUAAAGCUUCCAAGGACAGGCUGACUCUUGUUAAGGGGGCUAUGCAGCUGGCAAAUUGAAGUUGAAACCAUACCAAAAGUCCUAGAGCCCUUAAGAUUUAUGCUACAGCUAUUCUUCAUACCAAUACUCCCACUCGUAAUUCCCAAAUAGAAAUGGGACAACAAAGCCUGGAUGACAGCACACCUGUUUAAGCCUACUGCUCAGAACAAAAGGAAUCUUUUCAAGUUAUUACUGCUCAUUGAGAUUGUAUUUCAUCACUCAAGAGCUUUGAUGGAGAUAAACAAUGAAAUGUUAUUUUUAUGCCUAAAGCAACAUCCAGUUUUGCAGUCUGUGAAUCAAGGAGUCAUUUUGACUUCAAGUCUUAAGACAAACAUUUCAGAAGGCUAUAGUUGCCACAUAUAGCAACACCUUGAUGGAUUAGGUCAAAGUCAAUUGAAAAUCUAGAAAGAAUUCAUGAUUUUAGAUGCCAUUAAAAACAUUUGUAAUUUAUAGGGAGGGGUCAAAAUGUCAACAUAAACAGGAGUUUGGAAGAAGUUAAUUCCAGCCCUUAUAGAUAACUUUGAGAGGCUCAAUGCUUCAGUAGAGAAGCCAUAGCAGAUGUAGUGACAGCAAGACAACUAGAAGAGGAACCUCAAGAUGUGACUGAAUUGAUGCAAUCUCAUAAUAUUUUCACAUAUGAAGAAUUGCUGCUUGUGGAUGAGCAAAGAAAGUGGUUUCUUGAGUUGCAGAUUAUGGAAAUGACAAAGAAUGAAGAAUAGUACAUAAAUUUAGUUGAUAAAGCAUCUGCAGAGUUUGAGAGGAAAGACUUCAAAUUUCAAAAAAGUUCUGUGCUAAAAUGCUAUCACACAGCAUCACAUGUUAAAAGAAGACUCAAUCCAUGUGACAAACUUCAUUGUUGUCUUAUUUUGAGAAACUGCCACAGCCACCCCAACCUUGAGCAACCACCACCCUGGUCAGUCAGCAGCCAUCAACAUCAAGGCAAAACCCUCUCCCAGCAAAAACAUGACUUGCUAAAAGUUCAGAUGAUAGUAUUUUUUUUUAGCAAUAAAGUAGCAACAUAUGUACAUUUUUUAAACAUAGUGCUAUUGAGCACUUAGUAGACUAUAGUAUAAACAUAACCUUUAUAUACACUAGGAAACCAAAAAAAAGUCAUUUGACUCAUUUUAUUGUCAUUAAUAUUAUUGUGGUGGUCUGGAACUCAACCCACAAUAGCUCCAAGGUUUUGGUCCUGUUCUAAUGCAAUUGUAGGUAUUCUCUACAGAUUAAAAUCAAUUACAAUUAAUUCACAAGGCAAAAUCCAUGAUGAGCAAAAGUAUUAACUAUGUUUAAAAAGUCCAUUUUUUUCUUUGAUUACUUGAAUAUUUUAUAGUCAAUACAGAUUUUCCUUCAUACAAAUACUCACAAUUCCCAAAUAUGAAAUUCUAAUACUAAAUAAAUGGAAAUAGCAAUAAAGAUGGUGGUAUACUUAAACUCAAACUUGAAAUUAGUGCUAUUAAUUUUUUAUUGCUGAAAAGAAAAAAAAUUAAUGAGUGUCUGCUUCAAUGUAAUGAAUUUCAUAAAUAUAUGUACAGAUUUCAAUUUUAUUUUGAGAUGACAUUUUAAUGAGAAGUGUAAGUGAAUUAGAGAAAAUAUAUUAGUUACUAACUUUUGAAAUAAGUUAUUUGCAGAGCUUCUUGGGGGGGUGUCAAUAAAGAAGUUGCUGUGUGGAUCAUUUUCUGUAAAAUAUUCUGUGAAAACAUCUUUGGAUGAUUUCAAAGGAGGAUAUACCAUUUCAGGCAAAAGAGCUUCUGAUGUUUUGCAGAAUAGUUUUUUUCUACCAGACACUGCACCAUAUUGGGCAAAAUGCAUGGCAGCACUGUUAUAGCAGAAUGAAAGAUGGCUUUACAAAGUUAAUAUUGUAUGAGGCACAUCUGGGAAGCUCAAUCAGCUCCCUUCAGCUAGGGCCCUGAUCCCAGGGUCCUGGGAUCGAGCCUCAGAGUAAGGCUAUCCUGCUCAGCAUGGAGCUUGCUUCUCCCUCUCCUCUCCCUUUGUGCUCUCUCUUGCUAUCUCUAUCUCUCUCUCUCUCUCUCUCAAAUAAAUAAAAUCUUUUUUAAAUUAAUAUUGGAAAGGAUCUAAAGGAACUAUAUUAAAUAAUAUGAUUGUGAGUAUUCCUUCCCCAUCAAGUUUCACUGAAAUCAAUGGUGCAGCCAUCUUGUUCACUUUUAUAUAUCCUUAUGUAUUUAAUUUGAAAUGUUAAUACUCCACAUAACCAAUUUUACUGCAUAAUAAAAAUGUUUUAAUACUGUACUGAAAACUCAAACAUGCUUAACAAUUUAUUUUUAAAAUACUCUAAAUUGAUAAUGUGCAAAACCCAGCAAUUUUUAAGGUGACAUGAUUUGAAAUAGUCAUGGCAUGCUACCAUUUAAAAAUACAUUC